UACGAGGGGGGCAAGCGUUGUUCGGAAUUAUUGGGCGUAAAGGGCGCGUAGGCGGUGCGGUAAGUCUGAUGUGAAAUCUCCGGGCUCAACUCGGAGUCUGCAUCAGAAACUGCCGUGCUUGAGUAUGGGAGAGGUGCGUGGAAUUCCCGGUGUAGCGGUGAAAUGCGUAGAUAUCGGAAAAAACACCUGUAGCGAAAGCAGCGCACUGGACCAUAACUGACGCUGAGGCGCGAAAGCUAGAGGAGCAAACAGG
rnacentral:rRNA from 1 species